AAUCAACGCUGGCGGCGUGCCUAACACAUGCAAGUCGAACGCGAAAACCCCGCAAGGGGUUAGUAGAGUGGCAAACGGGUGAGUAACGCGUGGGUGACCUACCUCAGAGUGGGGGAUAACCUUCCGAAAGGAGGGCUAAUACCGCAUGACAUACCGUGGUUGGAUACACGGAUAUCAAAGCCGGGGAUCGCAAGACCUGGCGCUUGGAGAGGGGCCCGCGUCCGAUUAGCUAGUUGGUGAGGCACGGCUCACCAAGGCGACGAUCGGUAUCCGGCCUGAGAGGGCGGACGGACACACUGGGACUGAGACACGGCCCAGACUCCUACGGGAGGCAGCAGUGGGGAAUUGUUCGCAAUGGGCGCAAGCCUGACGACGCAACGCCGCGUGGAGGAUGAAGACCU
rnacentral:rRNA from 1 species